UUUCCAGACUCCUACGGGAGGCAGCAGUGGGGAAUAUUGCACAAUGGGGGAAACCCUGAUGCAGCGACGCCGCGUGAGCGAAGAAGUACCUCGGUAUGUAAAGCUCUAUCAGCAGGGAAGAAGAUGACGGUACCUGACCAAGAAGCUCCGGCUAAAUACGUGCCAGCAGCCGCGGUAAUACGUAUGGAGCAAGCGUUAUCCGGACUUACUGGGUGUAAAGGGAGCGCAGGCGGCCUUGCAAGCCAGGAGUGAAAGCCCGGGGCCCAACCCCGGGACUGCUCUUGGAACUGCGUGGCUGGAGUGCAGGAGGGGCAGGCGGAAUUCCUGGUGUAGCGGUGAAAUGCGUAGAUAUCAGGAGGAACACCGGUGGCGAAGGCGGCCUGCUGGACUGCAACUGACGUUGAGGCCCGAAAGCGUGGGGAGCAAACAGGAUUAGAUACCCGCGUA
rnacentral:rRNA from 1 species